UGUGUGUGUGUUGUUUCCUGUUUUCUGUUUGGGACUCUAGCCAUCUCUGUACAAGCUUCUCAAUUUAUGAUCUUAUUCUUUUUGAAAAUGCUAUUUCAUGGAACAACUAAUAGAUGUUUGUUGUUGAAUAGCUUGUUCUCAAGUGAGAACUGCAUUGUUUGUUUUUUAUUGAGAAGAAAUGGUCUUGCAGAAUCUAGAGUGAUCUCUGUUUUUGGGGUGGUUGUGGAAUACAGUCUAGUCAGGCCAUUGGCGAACUUUUUCUUGUUGUCCACUUUAUAUUCAUCAGCUUGUAUUUGAAUUCAUAUAUGACAAUAGGGAGAACUACAUAACAAAAUUAGGUAUCACAGGAAGAUACACCAAUGUUACUGCAUACCUUAUUAAGAAUAGUUAGGCUGAUGAGUAAUGAGCUUGCUUUAAUGCGGAGACCACUUGAAAUGCAAAAUUGAUAUUCUGAAUGCACAAGGUUUUUCUAGUUCUCCACACCUAUGUUCCUAGUUGGAGUUGCAGAAUCUCUACUCUUCACUUCAAAGAUGCUGAUUUGUUUUCAGCUCUUUCAUUGUGUCCUAUUCCAAAAGGAGUUAUUGUCAUUCCUCUAUAUCUGAUGACUUUUGGAAUUAAAAUAUCGGGAGAUUUUCUUUUCUUUCUACAAAAACUUGUAAUCAGAUUUUGAUUGCUUGUUCAGGCUUUUGUUGU
rnacentral:misc_RNA from 1 species